rfam:Cavia porcellus supercont2_12 genomic scaffold, whole genome shotgun sequence.
GCGCUGUCGGCGUUGCGGGCCCAGGGCGACGGGACGUCUUCCCGGGGCCGACCUGUGUGCUGGUCCCGGAGUGACGGGUUUCCGACUCGGUCUCUCGACGGAGGCUCCCGCAGCCCGGCGGGCUUGGGCCUCAGGUAACGCCGGU